AGUACCUAAAAAAGAUAGGAAAAAACUUCAAAAAUCCCCUAUGUGGUUCCACACUUUUUCAUUUUAGUACUCUAUGAUUUAAAGUGUAUCAAGUUAGUACCCUGUGGUUUCUCACUUUAUCACUUUAGUACCCUGUGGUUUAAAGUGUAUCAAGUUAGUACCCUGUGGUUUUGCACUUUAUCACUUUAGUACCCUGUGGUUUCACACUUUAUCACUUUAGUACGCUAUAGUUUAAAAAACCACAGGGUACUAAUUUGAUACAAAAUCAAAACUACAGGGUACUAAAGUGAUAAAAUGCAAAACCACAGGGUACUAACUUGAUACACUUUAAAUCACAGGAUACUAAAGUGAUAAAGUGAGAAACCACAAUGUACUAACUUGAUACAUUUUAAACCACAGGGUACUAAAGUGAAAAAAAUUGAGACCACAAGGGGGGUUUUUGAAGUUUUCCCAA
rnacentral:lncRNA from 1 species